rnacentral:rRNA from 1 species
GUAUAGACCCGAAACCCGGUGAUCUAGCCAUGGGCAGGUUGAAGGUUGGGUAACACUAACUGGAGGACCGAACCGACUAAUGUUGAAAAAUUAGCGGAUGACCUGUGGCUGGGGGUGAAAGGCCAAUCAAACCGGGAGAUAGCUGGUUCUCCCCGAAAGCUAUUUAGGUAGCGCCUCGUGAAUUCAUCUCCGGGGGUAGAGCACUGUUUCGGCUAGGGGGCCAUCCCGGCUUACCAACCCGAUGCAAACUGCGAAUACCGGAGAAUGUUAUCACGGGAGACACACGGCGGGUGCUAACGUCCGUCGUGAAGAGGGAAACAACCCAGACCGCCAGCUAAGGUCCCAAAGUCAUGGUUAAGUGGGAAACGAUGUGGGAAGGCCCAGACAGCCAGGAUGUUGGCUUAGAAGCAGCCAUCAUUUAAAGAAAGCGUAAUAGCUCACUGGUCGAGUCGGCCUGCGCGGAAGAUGUAACGGGGCUAAACCAUGCACCGAAGCUGCGGCAGCGACGCUUAUGCGUUGCUGGGUAGGGGAGCGUUCUGUAAGCCUGCGAAGGUGGCCUGUGAGGGUUGCUGGAGGUAUCAGAAGUGCGAAUGCUGACAUAAGUAACGAUAAAGCGGGUGAAAAGCCCGCUCGCCGGAAGACCAAGGGUUCCUGUCCAACGUUAAUCGGGGCAGGGUGAGUCGACCCCUAAGGCGAGGCCGAAAGGCGUAGUCGAUGGGAAACGGGUUAAUAUUCCCGUACUUGGUGUUACUGCGAAGGGGGGACGGAGAAGGCUAUGUUGGCCGGGCGACGGUUGUCCCGGUUUAAGCGUGUAGGUGUGUGUUCCAGGUAAAUCCGGUUCACUUUAACACUGAGGCGUGACGACGAGGCACUACGGUGCUGAAGCAACAAAUGCCCUGCUUCCAGGAAAAGCCUCUAAGCAUCAGGUAACAUCAAAUCGUACCCCAAACCGACACAGGUGGUCAGGUAGAGAAUACCAAGGCGCUUGAGAGAACUCGGGUGAAGGAACUAGGCAAAAUGGUGCCGUAACUUCGGGAGAAGGCACGCUGACAC